rnacentral:rRNA from 1 species
AGAGUGAACGCUGGCGGUAGGCCUAACACAUGCAAGUUGAACGGCAGCACAGUGGUAGCAAUACCAUGGGUGGCGAGUGGCGGACGGGUGAGGAAUACAUCGGAAUCUACCUUUUCGUGGGGGAUAACGUAGGGAAACUUACGCUAAUACCGCAUACGCCCUUCGGGGGAAAGCCGGGGAGUCGCAAGACCUGGCGCGGAUAGAUGAGCCGAUGUCGGAUUAGCUAGUUGGUGAGGUAAAUGGCUACACCAAGGCGACGA